rnacentral:lncRNA from 1 species
AGCGCCUUCCAGGCCCUAAUAGCCGUGGAAGAAAUCUGGGCAUAAGCUCCCCAAUGGUAGUUUGUCUGAUCAGCAGAAUAAGCUCCCUGACCCGUUAACAAGUCAAAAGUCCAAUCUCUCUGCUCUGGAGUCAAAGCAGCUGCGUUUGCUCGGGCCUGCGCUUGUGCAGUUUCAUGCCAAAGAGCUCUCCAUUCCAUAUAUUUGCCCAUACUAGGGAGAGCGGCUUUUACAACCGUUUGCCAGUCAGCAGGAGUUAGUGCCAUGCCGGCGAGCCUGUCUAACUGCACCAAGGUAAAAUUAGCAUUGGUUCCGUAUUUACGGACCGACUCGGCAAUUUCUUUAAUUUGUAAGUAUUCUACCGGAGCGUGGACACGCCCACCCUCGGCUCCUUCAAAGACCGGAAAUGCCUGUUGUAUUUUCCUUUGUUCCUCUCUGGGAAUGAAUGAGUCUGCGCACUGCCUCUCUGCGCAGGGCUGACGCACUACGCAGGGCGGGGACUCCGCAUAGGGCGGACCUUGAAGCCGACUGCCCUGAGGCCAAUCAGCAAACUGGCCUUCGCCAGCCGCUUUUGGCUUCCUUAACUGAUUAGCUAGCACUUUACCUGGCUGGUACCCUUUUUUCUCAUAAUGAGCUGCUUCUUCCUCCCAGUCUGUUUCUUCAGAGGAGAAUUCUUCAUCUGCUUCAGAGCUACUAAGAGCUGGCUCCCCGAGCCCAUCCAGCGAUGAGCACAGGCUCCUUUUCCUAGAGACCUCCGCUAAUUGAUCUUUCUUCUUUUCCCUUUUUCCUCUUUUUCUUCUAAUCUCUCUCCAGGUAUUCCUACCUAACCUUAACUUUUCCUCGGGUUCAAGACCCUUGGAAAGGCCUGUAUACUUAUUUUGUGUACCAUAUUUCCUCUUUGUUCCUACUCUCUCUCCCCGCUUUACUUCUGAUAGCUUGUCCUGAAUUUCCUCUAGAAUUUUCAGCCCUAUCUUAAUCACUUGAUAACAUGUGAAAAGGAACAAAAGGGCUCCUAACACCAGAAAAAAUUCAAGGCCAAACAUAUUCCACUUUACUUCUGAUAGACUGUCUUGAAUUUCCUUAGAAAGUUCAAGAUCAGACUUACCUCGUAAAGCUGUACUCACUGGUACUCUCGUUCCCCAGCUGAAAAGUUCUGAAUUCAUACAGUUGAAUCCUUCUUAACAGUCUGCUUUACGGGAACCUUUAUUACCGCGACCCGCAGUUCUGGUUCUGGAAUGAGGGAUCUUCCUUGCGCCAGUCCCGAGUUUUUUCUCGUCCCGGAAUUCGGCACCAAUUGUUAUUAGACGCGUUCUCACGACCGGCCAGGAAAGACGCAACAAACCAGAAUCUUCUGCGGCAAAACUUUAUUGCUUACAUCUUCAGGAGCAGGAGUGUAAGAAGCAAGAGAGAGCGAAAACGAAACCCCGUCCCUAUUAAGGAGAAUUCUCCUUCGCCUAGGACGUGUCACUCCCUGAUUGGCUGCAGCCCAUCGGCCGAGUUGACGUCACGGGGAAGGCAGAGCACAUGGAGUAGAGAACCACCCUCGGCAUAUGCGCAGAUUAUUUGUUUACCACUUAGAACACAGCUGUCAGCGCCAUCUUGUAACGGCGAAUGUGGGCGCGGCUCCCAACACAGGCCCAGAGGCUGAGACGCAUGCCAGGGUUUCUUUAGCUCCACAGUCAACAUUCUUAGCUGUUUCCCUGGCUUCAUGAAAUGAGCACUCCCUGUGUGGCAGUUCGACUGAGAAAUACUCCCCAUAAGUUCAUGUAUGUGAUCACUGGAUGCCUAGCUGGAGAACCUUUAAGACGUG